rnacentral:rRNA from 1 species
GACGAACGCUGGCGGCGUGCUUAACACAUGCAAGUCGAACGGAAAGGCCCUGCUUUUGUGGGGUGCUCGAGUGGCGAACGGGUGAGUAACACGUGAGUAACCUGCCCUUGACUUUGGGAUAACUUCAGGAAACUGGGGCUAAUACCGGAUAGGAGCUCCUGCUGCAUGGUGGGGUUGGAAAGUUUCGGCGGUUGGGGAUGGACUCGCGGCUUAUCAGCUUGUUGGUGGGGUAGUGGCUUACCAAGGCUUUGACGGGUAGCCGGCCUGAGAGGGUGACCGGCCGCAUUGGGACUGAGAUACGGCCCAGACUCCUACGGGAGGCAGCAGUGGGGAAUAUUGCACAAUGGGCGGAAGCCUGAUGCAGCAACGCCGCGUGCGGGAUGACGGCCUUCGGGUUGUAAACCGCUUUCGCCUGUGACGAAGCGUGAGUGACGGUAAUGGGUAAAGAAGCACCGGCUAACUACGUG